rnacentral:rRNA from 1 species
UACGUAGGGUCCGAGCGUUGUCCGGAAUUAUUGGGCGUAAAGGGCUCGUAGGCGGUUUGUCGCGUCGGGAGUGAAAACCUACAGCUUAACUGUGGGCUUGCUUUCGAUACGGGCAGACUUGAGGCAUGCAGGGGAGAACGGAAUUCCUGGUGUAGCGGUGAAAUGACGCAGAUAUCAGGAGGAACACCGGUGGCGAAGGCGGUUCUCUGGGCAUGUUCUGACGCUGGAGG